AAGAAUUUAAGUUAAAUAAACUAUUGACCUUCAAAGUCAAAAUUAUAAAUUAAAAUUUUUUUAAUUCUUA
rnacentral:tRNA from 1 species